UACGUAGGGCGCAAGCGUUAUCCGGAAUUAUUGGGCGUAAAGAGCUCGUAGGCGGUUUGUCGCGUCUGCCGUGAAAGUCCGGGGCUCAACUCCGGAUCUGCGGUGGGUACGGGCAGACUAGAGUGAUGUAGGGGAGACUGGAAUUCCUGGUGUAGCGGUGAAAUGCGCAGAUAUCAGGAGGAACACCGAUGGCGAAGGCGGCGCUCUGGGCCGGAACUGACGCUGAGGAGCGAAAGCGUGGGUAGCAAACAGG
rnacentral:rRNA from 1 species